UGCAGUCGAGCGGAAGGCCCUUCGGGGUACUCGAGCGGCGAACGGGUGAGUAACACGUGAGUAACCUGCCCCCGACUCUGGGAUAAGCCCGGGAAACUGGGUCUAAUACCGGAUACGACCACUUCCCGCAUGGGAUGGUGGUGGAAAGUUUUUUCGGUUGGGGAUGGACUCGCGGCCUAUCAGCUUGUUGGUGGGGUAACGGCCUACCAAGGCGACGACGGGUAGCCGGCCUGAGAGGGCGACCGGCCACACUGGGACUGAGACACGGCCCAGACUCCUACGGGAGGCAGCAGUGGGGAAUAUUGCGCAAUGGGCGAAAGCCUGACGCAGCGACGCCGCGUGGGGGAUGACGGCCUUCGGGUUGUAAACCUCUUUCAGCAGGGACGAAGUUGACGUGUACCUGCAGAAGAAGCGCCGGCUAACUACGUGCCAGCAGCCGCGGUAAUACGUAGGGCGCAAGCGUUGUCCGGAAUUAUUGGGCGUAAAGAGCUCGUAGGUGGCUUGUCACGUCGGGUGUGAAAGCUUGGGGCUUAACUCCAGGUCUGCAUUCGAUACGGGCUGGCUAGAGGUAGGUAGGGGAGAACGGAAUUCCUGGUGUAGCGGUGAAAUGCGCAGAUAUCAGGAGGAACACCGGU
rnacentral:rRNA from 1 species